AUUGAACGCUGGCGGCAUGCUUUACACAUGCAAGUCGAACGGCAGCACGGGUGCUUGCACCUGGUGGCGAGUGGCGAACGGGUGAGUAAUGCAUCGGAACGUGCCCAUGAGUGGGGGAUAGCCCGGCGAAAGCCGGAUUAAUACCGCAUACGCCCUUAGGGGGAAAGCGGGGGAGUCUUCGGACCUCGCGCUAUUGGAGCGGCCGAUGUCGGAUUAGCUAGUAGGUGAGGUAAAGGCUCACCUAGGCGACGAUCCGUAGCUGGUCUGAGAGGAUGAUCAGCCACACUGGGACUGAGACACGGCCCAGACUCCUACGGGAGGCAGCAGUGGGGAAUUUUGGACAAUGGGCGCAAGCCUGAUCCAGCCAUGCCGCGUGAGUGAAGAAGGCCUCGGUUGUAAGACGUCUUUCUAGGUGGAAGAAGUAAGACGAC
rnacentral:rRNA from 1 species